rnacentral:rRNA from 1 species
UACGGAGGAUGCGAGCGUUAUCCGGAUUUAUUGAGUUUAAAGGGUGCGUAGGCGGACGCUUAAGUCAGCGGUAAAAUUGCGGGGCUCAACCUCGUCGAGCCGUUGAAACUGGGUGCCUUGAGUGGGCGAGAAGUACGCGGAAUGCGUGGUGUAGCGGUGAAAUGCAUAGAUAUCACGCAGAACUCCGAUUGCGAAGGCAGCGUACCGGCGCCCAACUGACGCUGAAGCACGAAGGCGUGGGUAUCGAACAGG